GCCCCCGUAGCUCAGUCGGAUAGAGCAACGGAUUUCUAAUCCUUAGGUCGGGUGCCCGGGUCACCCCGGGCGCG
rnacentral:tRNA from 1 species